rnacentral:rRNA from 1 species
GGGGGGGGGGGGGGGGGGGGGGGGGGGGGGGGGGUGGGGCGGAAGUGCCGUGCGGGUGUGGGGUGCUCGAGUGGCGGACGGGGGAGUCACAGGUGAGUGAACGGCCCUUGGAGUUUGUCUCACUUCCGGGAACUGGGUCUAAUACCGGGUCUGCAGUCCUGCUGCAUGUUGGGGGUUUCAAAGUUUGUGCGGGUGGGUAUGGACUAGCGGGUUAGCAGCUUGUUCGUAGGGUUGUUGAGUACAAAGGCUGUGACGAGUAGCCUGCCUGGGAGGGUGACCGGCCACAUUGGGACUGAGAUACUGCCCAGACUCCUACGGGAGGCAGCAGUGGGGAAUAUUGCACAAUGGGCGGAAGCCUGAUGCAGCAAAGCCGCGUGCGGGAUGACGGCCUUCGGGUUGUAACCCGCUUUCGCAUGUGACGAAGAGUGAGUGACGGUAAUGGGUAAAGAAGCACCGGCUAACUACGUG